CAAUUAACAACUAACCAAAUGAAUUAAUAACAAAAAAACACAAAAAAAGAAAGAGUACAAACGGGCCUUGGUGUAGUGGCCCAUUCAGUGGGGUGUGCAUUGUGAAAUGGAGUGUGUGAUGAAGACACAGAAUGCCAUGGGCUUUGUAUGGGAUUGCCCAAGCCCAACGUACAAGAAUGAGGAACGCCGUGAUGUUCCAAUUCAUCUCUCCUCGCGUUCACUCUCUGACUCACAAGAGAAGCAAAACAUUACGAGUCUAGCCGUGCCGGUUCGUCACCGGCGGUGGUGAUCCAAAAAUGCCUAAGCACUCACACUUUCCGGUCUUGUUUCUCUCAACAAAACAAAUCACAUCCAGCACAAAUCCUCGGCGGGAAGAAAAAAACCGGUGUACGGAAAAAAACGUAAUGGAUCCAAACUACAUCAACGAAUGAAUCAACACGAAGGGAAAAGGCUCUCACCGUUGACGCCGAAUCCUCUAUCGCGAGCAGUUCGAAGUCCUCCGUGCAAGCGUCGUGCGCGGUCUCACUUUGCGGAUUGUGAAGGUCGCGCUCGAGUCCAAGUUCUUGACAGCGACGAAUACGUUACACCGUGCUCGCGUGGUGCUGAUGAAGAUGAUCACGAAUUUCUGUUGGAAUCCUUCGUCUCUUGUCCUCCAUCUGCUGGAGAAGACGGAGGUGAUAACGAUCCAGAUAAGUCUCCUUGCUCCCGCUUUCUUCUUUUCCUUCUGUUCUUCCUCUGUUCUUCUUUGUAUUUUCUGCUUCUCUUUUAUGAAAGGUUUAAGAGUGAUUUUUUCGUUAUCUUUUCUCUAUUAUGGAGUGUUAUGGAGUGUUAAGAUUGGAAGGUGGAGAGAGGAAUCGAAGGUGGUGGAAAUGGAAUGAGCGAGCGAUCCCCUUUUGUUAGAACUGGAAACUGGAUUUUAUAGGGACGAGAGGGAUUUUUGUUGCAGGUUAAAAUAAGUUAGCUGUUGGCUUUGCAGUUUGGACUUGAUUUUAUGCAGCUGUAGUUGUGCGUCUUGGUUUUGUUUCCGUGUUAUGCAACUCGACUUGGCUUGCACGCUGCAAUUGGUAUGGCUGUUAGUGUUGCUGCUGUCUGCAGCGUUUUGUUCUGCAGGCGGUACACUGCGUAUGAAGUUGUGUUGCAUGCUGCAACUUGUUGUUUUGGCUCAACUGUUGGAUCACCGUUUGCAGUUGGUGUUGGUUUUCGGCUGCACUUUGUUGUUUGGAUUCAGACGGCAUUGCAGGAUAAGUCCUUGUACACACGGUUUUGAUAUUGUAAUGCGUAAUACUAACAUCUGGUGUAUGCUAGAUUUUUUGUUGAUGUUAUUCGUUUGUUCUGCAGUGUAUCAGCUGCUAUUGGCGUUGAUUACCGUUUCAUGUCGUUUAGCAUUGGCUUGUAUGCAGCUGGCGUGUAUAUUUGUUUUGGUUCUACUGUCAUUUGCGUUUGUAGCUUGUGCUUCCUGUACAUUGCCUUUUAUUUUUCUUAAUGUAUAUUAAUAAAUGUAAAGUGUUAUUUGGAUAAUGUAAAGUAUGAUUUGGAUGAUGGUUUUGGUGAAUGGUUCCAUAUGUAAUGGAUAAUGGUUAAUUGUUUCAAUGGAUAAUGGAUACUUGACGGAUA